GAAUGGCAUAACGGUCUGAAAACUGUCUCUGGGAAAGGCUCGGUGAAAUUACAAUGCCGGUAAAGAUGCCGGUUACCCGCAGCAAGACGGAAAGACCCCGUGAAGCUUUACUAUAGUUUGAUAUUGAAUCAAAAUUUUGAUUGUAUAGAGUAGGUGGGAGCGCAAGCAAAAGUGUAACACCACCCUGUUAAGGUUUUGAUUCUAACCAUCGUUAAUUCGAAGGGACAGUGUCAGAUGGGUAGUUUAACUGGGGCGGUUGACUCCUAAAUUGUAACGGAGUCGCUCAAAGGUUGGCUUGGCCCGGAUGGAAAUCGGGCUGAAAGUGCAAACGCAUAAGCCAGCUUGACUGCAAGACUUACAAGUCGCGCAGAUGCGAAAGCAGGAGUUAGUGAUCCUCUGGCACAGAGUGAUGUGGCCAGAGCUCAACGGAUAAAAGCUACUCCGGGGAUAACAGGCUGAUCGCGCCCAAUAGUCCACAUAGACGGCGCGGUUUGGCACCUCGAUGGACAGUUCGGUCCUAAUCUGCUGUGGGCGUCGAAGUUUGAAGGAAUCUGCUCCUAGUAGGCGAGAGGACCGGAGCGGACGAACCUCUGGUGUACCAGUUGUUCUACCAAGAGCAUUGCUGGGUAGCUAUGUUCGGUCGGGAUAACCGCUGAAAGCAUAUAAGCGGGAAGCCCAUCCUAAGAUUAGACUUCAUUAAGGUUCCCAGUAGACCACUGGGUUGAUAGGCUCUAGGUGUAAGAUCCGUAAGGAUUUCAGCCGAGGAGUACUAAUAGACC
rnacentral:rRNA from 1 species